GUAAAUCCAUUCCUCACCAGACCAGCUAAGUUCACUCAACUCUGUUCUACUUCUCUAGUUUUUACUUUUACUGUCAUGGUUUUGGCCUAGCGUAGUUGAGGAAUGGAUUACUAUUUUGAGUUAUAUAAAUGCGAGCGUAGCAAAGCAAUUAGAAUACCUCGAUUAUCUUAGCGCAAUAUCAUCUAAUAAAAAUCCCUUUUUUCUUUGUUUCUUUUUUAAUGAUUUGGGUAGAUAGAUCAAGUCUGUCUAUAUUACCGGUGUACCGUGUACUUUUUGAGUUUAUUAAUAAUAAGUAAUGUUUGUUCAA